rnacentral:tRNA from 1 species
GCUUCCUUAGCUCAGCUGGAUAGAGCAACGCCCUUCUAAGGCGUAGGUCAAUGGUUCGAAUCCAUUAGGGAGUACCA